rnacentral:tRNA from 1 species
ACCUGGUUGGCUGAGUCAGUUGAGCAUCUGACUUCGGCUCAGGUAAUGAUCUCACGGUUUGUGGGUUCAAGCCCCGCAUCUGGCU